GUAGUUCUUCUUUCUUACUUUGGAUAGCUGUGAAAUCAUGAUGUACUUGUGGCCGAUGUAAAGAAGAACCAACAUGAAUGUUUUCAUAGUUUAACCUGAUGUAUAAACUACAGAAGUUUCAAGUGCUGGAAAUGAGGGUGCGCCUGAAGGACAUCUGACGACAUAACAGGAAGUGAGCAAGGAAGGCUUGAUAGGUUUUGUGGCAGUCUGCUGCAGCAUAUUGUACAUUUGAGCACCAGACUAUGUAAAAAUAUAUAUGUGCUUUGCCGAAAUGGAAGGCAAACAAAUAGAGAUGUGGAGGUUUGUGUAUCAUUAAAUUGUAAUUAGGGGUUGGCUUGUGUGUUGCUAAUAUUGAGUGAGAUGCCCUAGUAUACUUCCUACUCUUUCCUGAAAUUAAAUUAUUUUUUCAUGUUUACUAUUAUUACAUUCUUUUUUCA